rnacentral:rRNA from 1 species
AUUGAACGCUGGCGGCAGGCCUAACACAUGCAAGUCGAGCGGAUGAGUGGAGCUUGCUCCAUGAUUCAGCGGCGGACGGGUGAGUAAUGCCUAGGAAUCUGCCUGGUAGUGGGGGACAACGUUUCGAAAGGAACGCUAAUACCGCAUACGUCCUACGGGAGAAAGCAGGGGACCUUCGGGCCUUGCGCUAUCAGAUGAGCCUAGGUCGGAUUAGCUAGUAGGUGAGGAAAUGGCUCACCUAGGCGACGAUCCGUAACUGGUGUGAGAGGAUGAUCAGCAACACUGGAACGGGGACACGUUCCAGAAUCCUACGGGAGGCAGCAGUGGGGAAUAUUGGACAAUGGGCGAAAGCCUGAUCCAGCAAUGCCGCGUGUGUGAAGAAGGUCUUCGGAUUGUAAAGCACUUUAAGUUGGGAGGAAGGGCAGUAAGUUAAUACCUUGCUGUUUUGACGUUACCAACAGAAUAAGCACCGGCUAACUUCGUGCCAGCAGCCGCGGUAACAC